GAUGAACGCUGGCGGCGUGCCUAAUACAUGCAAGUCGAGCGAACAGACGAGGAGCUUGCUCCUCUGACGUUAGCGGCGGACGGGUGAGUAACACGUGGAUAACCUACCUAUAAGACUGGGAUAACUUCGGGAAACCGGAGCUAAUACCGGAUAAUAUAUUGAACCGCAUGGUUGAAUAGUGAAAGACGGUUUUGCUGUCACUAAUAGAUGGAUCCGCGCCGCAUUAGCUAGUUGGUAAGGUAACGGCUUACCAAGGCGACGAUGCGUAGCCGACCUGAUAGGGUGAUCGGCCACACGGGAACUGAGACACGGUCCAGACUCCUACGGGAGGCAGCAGUAGGGAAUCUUCCGCAAUGGGCGAAAGCCUGACGGAGCAACGCCGCGUGAGUGAUGAAGGUCUUCGGAUCGUAAAACUCUGUUAUUAGGGAAGAACAAAUGUGUAAGUAACUAUGCACGUCUUGACGGUACCUAAUCAGAAAGCCACGGCUAACUACGUG
rnacentral:rRNA from 1 species